rnacentral:tRNA from 1 species
GGAAGUGUGCCCGAGUUUAAGGAAUACUUUGAUAGAGUACAUCACAGGGAUUAAACCACCCUCACUUCCU